UUGAAAUAUAGAUAUGACCGGCAAGGGGAUGUCCAGGGCUAGCUUGUGGGAGCAGAUCACUUGUGUACUGAGGUAUUUUCCCUCUUUAGCACUUCAGACACUGUGAACUGUAUAGGCUGGGGUUUGAUUUGAUGUUUGAGUGUACGUGUUUGCGAUAAAUAAAGGCGAUUUCCCACUCUUCCUGUUUCAUUUCCAGCUUAACCCUGACCAGGCAUGUCAGAGGCCGUUUACUGUGGCUGCAGAGCUGUGACCACGGCUGCCUGAACCAUGUGAUAUACACCCUCUAUUCUGCUUUUAUAGGGCAGCUGUUUCUCGGAGAAUCAAGCUCAGGUGUCACUCAGGGACUGCUUAGCUGAGUCCCUUGCCUCUAAUUGAAAUGGGCGGCCUUACUGAAGAGUUGCGGAAGGAAAAGUGAAAGAGUUUGUCCUGCUUUUUACUACUGCCUUCUUAAUUCCAGAUGACAGGAAAUGUUUUUCUUCAUCUCUGACACAGUGAUGAAUAGGAAAAGCAGACGGCUACACAGAAGCGCUGCUGAUCCCAGCUCUGGCAUGGCUCCUGUUUAAACAGACUUCCCAGAAAUCUCAGGCAGUUUGCCAUGGUAAGGAAACAAUUUACGUCAGAUUUUGAGCAGGGGAAUCCGUCAGGGUUGGGGAGGAAGGCGGAGGCGAGUUGCUAAAGGUAGAAAGAGGGAGGCUUUUCAUGAGCCCUACAGCUGAUCAUUAUUUCCAGGAGAAGGACAAAGUAGCUAUUCUUCUGCUUUGGCUUGCCAUUGCCUUGACUGCUUCGUUUUGAAACCCAGUGGCUGCCUGAAGAUUCCUUGGGGGACCAAAUGAGUCUGGAGAGGAUGCUGAGGACCAUUUUGCUAGCUCUCUUGAUGACUGUCCAUAGUUUAAAAAAUUUCUUUGUAUUAAUUAUGGAUGGUCUUUUAUGUUUUCUAUAGUUCAAAGACAGGGAAUGAAAUGACCUCGGUAAAGAUUUAGUCCGAGUUCUUUCAAUUUGAGGCAUUAUGUAUAUAUCAAAACAUCAUUCUCCAGUCAAUGAAUGUUUAUUUAAUGUUACAGAUACUGUUAUCAUUGCCCCACAUGUUCAAGUACCCUUCAUUUUCCAACUAGUCGUCUUAGGUGGUUUUUGUUUUAAACAGACAAUCAAUUCUUUGUUUUUAGUUGAAAAAUUUUUUUGGAUAAUAUAUUCUUAUCACUUAUCCCCUCCAGCUUUUUCAUGCUCACCCAACUUGACAUCCUCUCUUUUUCUCUUACAAAAAAUGGCCUGACCUUCAGCUUAGAACUGUGUCUGGAUCCAUGGACCUACUACAGUCAGUGACUCUAUUGAUGUAUGUGGCUCCUGUUACCAUCCAAGGCCUAGCUGAUGCCAGGGUUCCAUGUUCGUAUCUUAGAGCCAUGCUGUUGCUGGGGCCAUACCAAUUUGAGUGACCUGGGCUGCCAUCUGAGGCCACGGUAACAUCUAGAUCCAGGUGGCUGUUGAGGAACCACGUCAUGGUCCUACUGUAGCCAGGGUCUGUGUUGAUGUCCAUGGCCCAUGUUACCAUCAAAUGACACAUGGAUGUCCGGGGUCUAGGUCACACCCUGCAGCCACGUUAGCAACCAACAGCUGUGCCACUGCCAGGGCCAUGCCAACCUGAAUGACCUGCUUUACCA